AGUAAAGUCAGCUAAAAAAGCUAUUGGGCCCAUACCCCAAAAAUGCUGGUGCAACUCCUUCCUUUACUA
rnacentral:tRNA from 1 species